AGAGCAAUAUCAAUUAACUGGAAGACAAAAUGACAUUGCAAAAGUAUUUCACAAGGAGUGCAAGGGAAUUAUUUAUUGGAGAGAGAGAAAGUACAUAGUGAUGAAAAAGCAUGUAAUGAUGUAUUUGAAUUGUGCACCAAAGUAUGUACAAGUUAGCUCUAAAACUAUAUAAUAACGUUGCCCCUUCUCUAUAUCUCUCUCACACGCACAGCUUUAACUUUUUCACUGAAAUCUCACUUUCAAUAAUUGAACGCGAGCCAUUCCCGGGUCCUUAUAGAAAACCAAUUAAUUGCAUUACCAUUGUCUAGCAUAAUGGGUCUCCCAAAGAGCAUCCAUAAAUGGAAUGUAACAAGGCCUUGUCAAUGGAUUCUCCACCUGAUGUCUUCCAUUGAUGAUAACUGACAAAUGCAAUCUCUGGAAAGAGUUGGGAGAAUCAAACAAAUGACGUUUUUGCUUAACUGGGUACCAAGCAAAAAAGAAAGCUAUGUGGAAUCUUGUUCACUUAGAGCUUCCUGCCAAAAGAGAGGGGCCAAACUCCAACAACCAAGGUUGAUAGGGAAAUCAAAUCAGACUUCACAGUUGCAUAAUCAUAUAAUACUUUUGUCUCUACACUCUACAAUCCAUGUGCAUAUGUGCGAUGUCCUUGCAUCAAAGAAGAAUAUGUAACAUUGUACUAAGAAGAACGAACUUGAGUUUAUCACAAAAAAAAAAAAAA
rnacentral:misc_RNA from 1 species